CUAUUUGGUUGAGUGGUGGGAAUGGAAGUCAUAUUGGCGUGGGUGGGGAGUGAGAGGUAGGUGAGAAAAUGAAAUCAGUGGGUGAAGGCAAAUUUUUUAAGAGAUUUGCAUUUGAAGAGUGAAAAAGAGUAUGUGAGAACAUGUAUUUGGUUUUCUGUUUCUGCAUUAAUUCACUUAGGAUUAUGGCCUGCAGCUGCAUCCAUGUGUCUGCAAAGGACAUGAAUUCAUUCUUUUUAAUGGCUGCAUAGUAUUUUAUGGUGUGUACGUACCACAUUUUCUUUAUCAAAUCCAUCAAUGAUGGGCGCCUAGGUUGAUCCCAUGUCUUCAUUUUGAAUAGAGCAGCAAUGAACAUACAAUUUAUUUUACUUUGGAUAUAUACCCAGUCAUGGGAUUGCUGGGUCAAAUGGUAGCUGUGUUUUAAGUUCUUUGAGAAAUCUCCAAACUGCUUUCCGCAGUGGCUGAACU
rnacentral:lncRNA from 1 species